GUCCUUAAUCUGCAUUUUCAGCAAGAAAACAGAUUUAACGUGUGCAUCUUGUGAGCUAGCAAGAAGGGACUCGGACACCAAAUUAAAAGCAAAGUCACACGUUCAAAAUAAUCAUAACUGCUGAAAAUUUAAAAGUUAUCAAAACAGUGAUCAGCUUACUCCAAUCCAAACUGAUGAGAUGAAGAUAAAUGUUCACCCAUCUAGGUCACAAGAUCUAAGGACCGGAGAAAUAGAAACUCUAACCAUUUAAAUAUUAUCUCAUCAUAAUUUUACUCCACAAAUAAAGUUGAAAUUUUAGCACACCAUAUGAGCUGAAGGAAAGAUUAGAAACCAAGUCCUAUGAUUCCAAUGAACACAGAAAAAAAAAAAAUUAAAAUAGCAAUAAUAAUAUAUGCUUGUUAUGUUUUCCCCCUUCAUAUGUAAUAAUAUCAAUCCAAAGCGCCGAAGUGAAACUUAAUGCAUGCAUGUAGUGAGCAUAUCACAUUCACAUUCACUUAUAAAUAAAGAAAUUCAAAAACCAAAAAAAUCUUUAUUCAGAUCAAACAAAUAUCUUAUCAUUAAAGACUAACCGUAAACUCAGUCACUUG
rnacentral:misc_RNA from 1 species